ACGCUCGACACCUACGGGAGGCAGCAGUGGGGAAUAUUGCACAAUGGGGGAAACCCUGAUGCAGCGAUGCCGCGUGAAGGAAGAAGUAUCUCGGUAUGUAAACUUCUAUCAGCAGGGAAGAAAAUGACGGUACCUGACUAAGAAGCCCCGGCUAACUACGUGCCAGUAGCCGUGGUAAUCUGAGCGGGCUGGCAAGGC
rnacentral:rRNA from 1 species